AGGUAGUUUCGUAUCCGUGGCGUACAGGACGAACGCUGGCGGCACGCUUAACACAUGCAAGUCGAACGGACUUGAGAGGGCUUGCUCUCUUAAGUUAGUGGCGGACGGGUGAGUAACACGUGAGCAACCUGCCUUUAAGAGUGGGAUAACGGUCGGAAACGACCGCUAAUACCGCAUAACAUACACGAACCGCAUGGUUUGUGUAUCAAAGAUUUAUCGCUUAAAGAUGGGCUCGCGUCUGAUUAGCUUGUUGGUGAGGUAACGGCUCACCAAGGCGACGAUCAGUAGCCGUACUGAGCGGUAGAACGGCCACAUUGGGACUGAGACACGGCCCAGACUCCUACGGGAGGCAGCAGUGGGGAAUAUUGCACAAUGGAGGAAACUCUGAUGCAGCGAUGCCGCGUGAGGGAAGAAGGUUUUCGGAUUGUAAACCUCUGUCUUAAGGGACGAUAAUGACGGUACCUUAGGAGGAAGCUCCGGCUAACUACGUG
rnacentral:rRNA from 1 species